GUCACCGUGGUAUGCUUUUCUCCCUUUGUGACAUGGGCCUAUUCUAGAAUCACAGAGCUGGAGGGAGCUUUGGUCUCAUCUGAUUCUAACACCUCUUUCAUAUCUGGAGAGACUGAGGCCCAGAGAGGUGACAGGAGCUAUUCAAUGAGCCUGGAUAAGAGGCCAGGGGUUCCAUUCCCUCCUUGGUGGUCUUUUUAUUUCAUCUUCUCCAGGCUAGAUGUUAACCCUCAGCACACACGAGUUCUAUGAACGUUCAGGCAAAUAAAGACAGAAAUAAAGGAAGAUAGACCGAACAAGGCAGAAAGAAUGACUCGGUUUGCUUACGCCUGAGCCUACAGCAAUACACCAAAGUAAAAGGCCUGCUUCCUCACUCUUGGACCAGCCAUCACACAUGUGCACUGCCCCGGAUGCUCCUCUCCCAGGUGACAUUAUCAGUUUCAGGUGUUCCAUAAAGCAAUUCGGUGAGUCCAUAUAUUACUCAGUGCUCAUCAAGUGCCUGGCAUAGAGCAGCUAUUUAAGAAAUAUUUACUGAACUGACAGAGGGCUGAAGGAGUGCCCGUUUACCUUCGUCGGUCCUGAGGAGGGCUUUUUCAGAAGACUUGCCUUGUCCAGGCACUUCAUUCUCACUAAGUUCUUCCAGUGCAUUGUCAAAUAGGAGUGAUGAGAGAAGACAUCUUUGACUUGUUCUUGAUCUUUGGAGGAAGGCAUUCAGUCUCUUACCAUUAAUGACUGCAUUUCUUGGAGAAAACUUGCUGAGCAAGCAUCUGCCCCACUGCACAUCAAGAACGUUCCAGACUUUGAGCCAGUUUAUACCCUCAGGGCAGCACGUGCAGGCUCUUCUUGCUGUUCUUAAACCAACGUUAGAAUCAAGAACUGGCUCUUGAAUUACUCCCAGCUGCCCGUAUCCACCCUCCCCUGAUCUGUGCUUCCCUAGUUAUGCUUUACCAUGAAAUACUGUUUGGACUGGUUUCAUUGAAACACCUUGAUUCUUCCCUCGAUGACGACGCACAGGACUGGAAAGUUCUGGGAUAAUCAUUUGGCUCAGCCGCCGUAUUUUUCAGAUGAGAAGCAUGAGCUUUAGAACACUUAGGUGACACUUUCAAGUCACGUGGAAAAUGGAAGAGAGAGACUGCCCACCUCCAUCUCAGGCUUCAGUCCACAAUGUCAUGAGGCAGGUGAAGGGGGAGAGUUGUUGGUACCCCCACUUUUGCCUUUAUCAACGAUUUUUGAUGGUGUUGGUUUCAUGAGGUAAUGUCUAGAAGCUAUUUUAAGAACAUUCAAGAAAAGAUGUCAUGUAAUUUUGAAGCAAUAUUGUUGGUUUUGGAACACAAAAUUUGAAAACAAUACUAGCCAGAAUUGUUGUUGAAUCAAAGUGAACUUUAUGAGAAUCUACAUUUCCGGAAGCAAGCCCUGGUCUUUGGAAAUGAAAAAGAAUAUGAUACAGAGGGGAAGUGCAAUAAACAGAGGUGAGUGUGUCAGAUAGAGUUAUUGCCUUUCUUUAAUUCUACAGAUUUCCUCGACUCACAAUGGGUUUACAUCUCAAUAAACCUGUCAUAAGUUGAAAAUAUCGUUAAGUCGAAAAUGUGUUUAAUAUACCUAACGAACCCAAUGUCAUAGCUUAGCCUAGCCCACCUUAAAUGUGUUCAGAACACUUACAUUAGCCUAUAGUUGGGCAAAAUCACCUAACACAAAGCCUAUUUUAUAAUAAAGUGUGGAAUAUCCCACGUAAUGCGUUGAAUACUGUACUGAAAGUGAACAACAGAAUGGUUGUCUGGGUACAGAAGGGUCUUAAGCAUAUGGGUUGUUACCCCCAUGAUCGCAGGCAGGGCUGACCAAGAGCUAUGGCUCACGGCGCUGCCAAAGGUCAAGAGUAUCAUACCACAUAUCACUAGCCUGGGACAAGAUCAAAUUCGAAAUUCGAAGUACGGUUUUCUACUGAAUGUGUUUUACUUUUGCACCAGAAAAAUCUAAGUCAAACCAUUGUAAGUCAGGGACUGUCUGUAAAGUGUUUGUGUUAAACAACUCUGAAGGAUUGGUGCAGAGGUCUUCUUCCUGUGAUCUUGUGUUCAGACCCAAAUGGAAACACAGCAUGCUGCCCUUUCUGCCCUCUUUAGCACAGCGAUGGCGGCAGCAUUCAUAGCUGUCACGAAGGAAAAAUAUGCUUCUUGAGCAGAAACCCCUUGUUCCUUGAAAAUAGCCCCAUUCUUAGCAAAUCUGCUUGCUUUCCCGUUGGUGGAUACGUUGACUUUGGUGCCCUCCUGACAUGAGCACUGACAGUAUAAAGACCUGAACUCUUUCUUCUGACAGCCUCCAUUUCUAGAGUUACUGAAGCUACCUUCGAUGUACCGGUCUCCUCUCAUUGUAUGUGCUCCCAAUAACAUCCUAACUUUUUGUUUUUAUUUCUCGUCUAAGAAAAUUAAAAAAAAAUAAUUCUGGCUUGCUCAAAUCUGUUUCCUAUCAUGUCUUAAAUUAGCCUGGCACCAAUCUGUUUGAAUAUCUGCCCCGGCUCUGUGGGAGGAAACUGAUGAGCUGGCCUUGAAUUUCCACCAGUGGAUGCCAACCACGGUGUAUCCUGGCGAGAGUUUCGGCUCCUUUUUGCCAAGGGCAGAGUUUCACUUCUGAUUUCAUAGAGAAUCAAACCCUGAAUGAGAAGACAGCUACAGACAGGAGGGAAAACAGCAUCUCUUCAAUCUGUCAGCUCUCUUCUCCUUCCAUCCCUCUCCACCACAGAAGGAUCCAUUGAUAUGCAGCAGGAAAAAUACAGAUGAAGUGCAAUUCAGUGAAGUGUGGGGAAAAA